rnacentral:SRP_RNA from 1 species
AAGCCGCAAAGGUGCGCGAAGAAGACCGCAAACCCGGUCAGGCCCGGAAGGGAGCAGCCGUAAGCGGCAACUUCUUGUGUUGCACCAAAGCGGCCCUUU